rnacentral:rRNA from 1 species
GAUGAACGCUGGCGGCGUGCCUAAUACAUGCCAGUCGAGCGAACAGAUAAGGAGCUUGCUCCUUUGACGUUAGCGGCGGACGGGUGAGUAACACGUGGGUAACCUACCUAUAGGACUGGGAUAACUUCGGGAAACCGGAGCUAAUACCGGAUAACAUUUGGAACCGCAUGGUUCUAAAGUGAAAGUUGGUUUUGCUAUCACUUAUAGAUGGACCCGCGCCGUAUUAGCUAGUUGGUAAGGUAACGGCUUACCAAGGCAACGAUACGUAGCCGACCUGAGAGGGUGAUCGGCCACACUGGAACUGAGACACGGUCCAGACUCCUACGGGAGGCAGCAGUAGGGAAUCUUCCGCAAUGGGCGAAAGCCUGACGGAGCAACGCCGCGUGAGUGAUGAAGGGUUUAGGCUCGUAAAACUCUGUUAUUAGGGAAGAACAAACGUGUAAGUAACUGUGCACGUCUUGACGGUACCUAAUCAGAAAGCCACGGCUAACUACAUG